CUGUAUUAAAUCUAUAUGUCAAAAUGUUUGUGCAGUUACAUUUAUUGUACAAAGAUAAAAGCACUGGAUCAAAAGAUUAAAAAUCUUACAUCUCCUCAUCCGUUGAAAGAUGACAGCAGCAAUGUCGGUCUCAACCUGAUGUUUCCUAAUCUUCCUAAAUGACAAAAUCAUUUUCAUCAAAUUUUCUUUUUUUCAGUAAGCACUUGAUCUGGUCAGGGUCACGGCCUAUCCCAGGAACACUAGGCAUGAGGAAGGAAUACAGCCUGGAGGGUGAGCCCAGGAUUGAACCAGGGACUCUGGAGAUCGUUACUUAUGAUCCUGGGUUUGCCUCCUACUCUGCCAGAUUUUUAAAAAUAAACAAACAGUUCCGGAAAUUCUACAGGAAUCCCUACAGGAAUAUAUAUAUAUAUAU
ensembl:lncRNA